AUACUUACCUGGCAGGGGAGAUACCGUGAUCACGAGGGUGGUUUUCCCAGGGCGAGGCUUAUCCAUUGCACUCCGGAUGUGCUGACCCCUGCGAUUUCCCCAAAUGUGGGAAACUCGACUGCAUAAUUUGUGGUAGUGGGGGACUGCGUUCGCGCUUUCCCCUG
rnacentral:snRNA from 1 species